UUCUUCAGGGUUGGGUGUAAUUCCCUACCGGCGGUGAUACCGUGACGGCAUAUGCCUUUACGGAUGAGUCCGCGACCCGCCAUCGGCGGCUGAUCCGGUUGGAAUCCGGAACCGACAGUACAGUCUGGAUGGAAGAAGAA
rnacentral:ncRNA from 1 species